rnacentral:rRNA from 11 species
GACCUCGGAUCAGACAGGGAUACCCGCUGAACUUAA